rnacentral:rRNA from 1 species
UACGGGGGGAGCAAGGCGUUGUUCGGAUUCACUGGGCGUAAAGGGUGCGCAGGUGGGUUGGCAAGUUUCGAUGUGAAAGCCCCGGGCUUAACCCGGGAAUGGCAUUGGAUACUGCUGAUCUGGAGGAUCGGAGGGGGGACUGGAAUUCUUGGUGUAGCAGUGAAAUGCGUAGAUAUCAAGAGGAACACCAGUGGCGAAGGCGAGUCCCUGGACGAUACCUGACACUGAGGCACGAAAGCCAAGGGAGCAAACAGG